GUUUCUCAAACCGUGCCUUCCCAUUUAUGCUGCAUCCGCGCCCUGAAUCUGAAAUUGGUCGUCCUGCCACGCCGCCUCACCGCGGUAUAAGGUCGUCCCAUCCUGAAUGGCCGGUGCGCAGACUCAAUUGCGACUUUGAGGCUGUCAGCCGCCACCCGGCAACCUUCCAGUGAACAGGAUUCUGGGUUUCUCAAAGCUGUAAUUGGAGGUAUGAUGGCGACGCCCACUUGACUCCUACCUGGGGCGGCCAUGUUUAAAACUGUGCCGUAAAACGGAUGAUUAAGCCCUUUGCUAGACCAAAAGAUAAGGCUAUUUUAGGACAAGGAGAAGGAAGUGUCCCUGGAUCCCUAAACAGAGAUGUCGUCUCUGCUCUUAACUCAGCAUCUCAGAUGCCAAAACCUCCUGUGGCCAACAUGGUGGCGCCCAGACAUCAAAGCUGAGCUUUCUUUGUCUCCGGCAGCCUGGGCCACUCCAGAGGUGUUAAAGCUCCAGCACUUCGAGCCUGCCUCGUGGGAAAGUCUUAGGCUGAGUCUGGGCUGGAAACCUAACAAUUUCACUUCCUAGACAACUUGCUAAAAGUCACCUAAAGACAGUCUGGUUACUGCCAAAGAUAUGCUUUCAAAUAAGAUUUGGAUAAAGAAGGGAGGUAGAUGCCUUUUUUCAGCAGUGGAGUGAUGUCUAGACCAGUAGAUGUACGCAUCUAAGUGAAUUCAUCACCAGCAACAAUUUCCAGAAACUUCCUGACCUCCAGAUUGCAGCUUCAUUAGUGUGAGUUUAAAGCCAACUAGAUGCCAUUCUCAGAUUCCACGCAUAUGGCCAAGGGUCCAGGAAAUAAGAAGAAACAGGUUGAGGGGUUGGUGUUAUGGGGCAUUUACUUGAAUUUUCUAUGCUAUAAUUGUCUCAUCUUUAAAACGGUGAUAAUAAUAAAAUUGUCAGUUAUUAAAUAAAUUAACACAGUGAAAAAA
rnacentral:lncRNA from 10 species